rnacentral:snRNA from 1 species
AUCAUGUUGAUCUCAUAGUAUU